UACGUAGGUGGCAAGCGUUAUCCGGAAUUACUGGGCGUAAAGGGCGCGUAGGCGGCCUUCUAAGUCGAACGUGAAAUCCCCGGGCUCAACCCGGGAACUGCGUCCGAUACUGGAAGGCUUGAAUCCGGGAGAGGGAUGUGGAAUUCCAGGUGUAGCGGUGAAAUGCGUAGAUAUCUGGAGGAACACCGGUGGCGAAGGCGACAUCCUGGACCGGUAUUGACGCUGAGGCGCGAAGGCGUGGGGAGCGAACGGG
rnacentral:rRNA from 1 species